rnacentral:rRNA from 1 species
GACGAACGCUGGCGGCGUGCUUAACACAUGCAAGUCGAACGGAAAGGCCCUGCUUUUGUGGGGUGCUCGAGUGGCGAACGGGUGAGUAACACGUGAGUAACCUGCCCUUGACUUUGGGAUAACUUCAGGAAACUGGGGCUAAUACCGGAUAGGAGCUCCUGCUGCAUGGUGGGGGUUGGAAAGGUUCGGCGGUUGGGGAUGGACUCGCGGCUUAUCAGCUUGUUGGUGGGGUAGUGGCUUACCAAGGCUUUGACGGGUAGCCGGCCUGAGAGGGUGACCGGCCACAUUGGGACUGAGGUACGGCCCAGACUCCUACGGGAGGCAGCAGUGGGGAAUAUUGCACAAUGGGCGGAAGCCUGAUGCAGCAACGCCGCGUGCGGGAUGACGGCCUUCGGGUUGUAAACCGCUUUCGCCUGUGACGAAGCGUGAGUGACGGUAAUGUGUAAAGAAGCACCGGCUAACUACGUG